AGCAGCCGCGGUAAUUCCAGCUCCAAUAGCGUAUAUUAAAGUUGUUGCAGUUAAAAAGCUCGUAGUUGAAUUUCGGGAUCAGAUUGUCGGUCGUGCCUCGGUACGCACUGGCAUUAUUGGUUCCUACCUUCUGAAGAACCGCGAUGUCAUUAAUUUGGUGUCGUGGGGAAUCAGGACUGUUACUUUGAAAAAAUUAGAGUGUUUAAAGCAGGCGCACGCUUGAAUACAUUAGCAUGGAAUAAUGAAAUAGGACGUUUGAUUCUAUUUUGUUGGUUUCUAGGAUCGACGUAAUGAUUAAUAGGGAUAGUUGGGGGCAUUAGUAUUCAAUUGUCAGAGGUGAAAUUCUUGGAUUUAUUGAAGACUAACUACUGCGAAAGCAUUUGCCAAGGAUGUUUUCAUUAAUCAAGAACGAAAGUUAGGGGAUCGAAGACGAUCAGAUACCGUCGUAGUCUUAACCAUAAACUAUGCCGACUAGGGAUCGGAUGAUGUUAAUUUUUAAUGACUCAUUCGUCGUACCG
rnacentral:rRNA from 1 species